GUGAGGAAUUUUCCGCAAUGGGCGAAAGCCUGACGGAGCAAUGCCGCGUGAAGGAUGAAGGCCUAUGGGUUGUAAACUUCUUUUCUCAGAAAAGAAUUAUGACGGUAUCUGAGGAAUAAGCAUCGGCUAACUCUGUGCCAGCAGCCGCGGUAAGACAGAGGAUGCAAGCGUUAUCCGGAAUGAUUGGGCGUAAAGCGUCUGUAGGUUGUUUAAAAAGUAUUCUGUCAAAGAUUAGGGCUUAACCCUAGAUAGGCAGAAUAAACUUUUAAGCUAGAGUUUGGUAGAGGCAGAGGGAAUUCCCGGUGGAGCGGUGAAAUGCGUAGAUAUCGGGAGGAACACCAAAGGCGAAGGCACUCUGCUGGGCCAAUACUAACACUGAGAGACGAAAGCGAGGGGAGCAAAUGGGAUUAGAAACCCCUGUCC
rnacentral:rRNA from 1 species